rnacentral:rRNA from 1 species
GGGUUGUGAGGUUAAGCGACUAAGCGUACACGGUGGAUGCCCUGGCAGUCAGAGGCGAUGAAGGACGUGCUAAUCUGCGAUAAGCGCCGGUAAGGUGAUAUGAACCGUUAUAACCGGCGAUUUCCGAAUGGGGAAACCCAGUGUGACUCGUCACACUAUCAUUAACUGAAUCCAUAGGUUAAUGAGGCGAACCGGGGGAACUGAAACAUCUAAGUACCCCGAGGAAAAGAAAUCAACCGAGAUUCCCCCAGUAGCGGCGAGCGAACGGGGAUGAGCCCAGAGCCUGAAUCAGCAUGUGUGUUAGUGGAAGCGUCUGGAAAGGCGCGCGAUACAGGGUGACAGCCCCGUACACAAAAGCGCAUAUGCUGUGAGCUCGAUGAGUAGGGCGGGACACGUGGUAUCCUGUCUGAAUAUGGGGGGACCAUCCUCCAAGGCUAAAUACUCCUGACUGACCGAUAGUGAACCAGUACCGUGAGGGAAAGGCGAAAAGAACCCCGGCGAGGGGAGUGAAAAAGAACCUGAAACCGUGUACGUACAAGCAGUGGGAGCCCCACCACUAAGCCAGUGGUGAACUCCACAUACGCAUCCUUUGCUGAGGAUGCGGUUAACGGAGCGAAAGCGACGUUCAACCGCAAAAGAAGCAGAGGGGGCUUAGUGGUGGGGUGACUGCGUACCUUUUGUAUAAUGGGUCAGCGACUUAUAUUCUGUAGCAAGGUUAACCGAAUAGGGGAGCCGGAGGGAAACCGAGUCUUAAUUGGGCGUUAAGUUGCAGGGUAUAGACCCGAAACCCGGUGAUCUAGCCAUGGGCAGGUUGAAGGUUGGGUAACACUAACUGGAGGACCGAACCGACUAAUGUUGAAAAAUUAGCGGAUGACCUGUGGCUGGGGGUGAAAGGCCAAUCAAACCGGGAGAUAGCUGGUUCUCCCCGAAAGCUAUUUAGGUAGCGCCUCGUGAAUUCAUCUCCGGGGGUAGAGCACUGUUUCGGCUAGGGGGCCAUCCCGGCUUACCAACCCGAUGCAAACUGCGAAUACCGGAGAAUGUUAUCACGGGAGACACACGGCGGGUGCUAACGUCCGUCGUGAAGAGGGAAACAACCCAGACCGCCAGCUAAGGUCCCAAAGUCAUGGUUAAGUGGGAAACGAUGUGGGAAGGCCCAGACAGCCAGGAUGUUGGCUUAGAAGCAGCCAUCAUUUAAAGAAAGCGUAAUAGCUCACUGGUCGAGUCGGCCUGCGCGGAAGAUGUAACGGGGCUAAACCAU